rnacentral:lncRNA from 1 species
CAGUCCUGAGUUUAGACUUUUUAUGGAUACACUUGAGAGAUUCUAGGUUUGGUUUAUUGUGUAGUGCUUAAUUUUUGCAGUGUCCACUAAAAGCUGACUUAGGUUUUGCUGGGAGGUACAAUAUGGCUUCUUAACAGUGGUGGACAUGAUAUUUCCCUAUCUUAUGGAUUACUUUGUCUUCUGGGAAUACUGGUAGGAUCCAAGCAUAAAUACAACUCAUUGGUGAAGUUAGAUACUUUUAUAAUUCUUGCAAAAUUAGGUAGCAAAUUUGCUGCUUUUGUUUCUGUUUCAGGAAUCGUUCUAGUGUAGAUUUUGUGUAGAACUUUUUAAUUUUAAAGCGAAAUAGUAGUAUACACAUUUCAGAGUAGGAGACCUGAAUUUGAACUUGGCUUUUUUUUUUUUUUUUAAGGGUACCAGGGAUUGAACUCAGGGGCACUUGACCACUGAACCACAUCUCCAGCUCUAUUUUGUAUUUUUUUUAGAGACAGGGUCUCACUGAGUUGCUUAGCGUCUCGCAGUUGCUGAGGUUGGCUUUGAACUCGCAAUUCUCCUGUCAGCCUCCCAAGCUGCUGAGAUUACAGUGUACGCCACUGUGCCCGGCUUUAGCUUCUUUUAAACUAACUGGUUUGAGCAAAGUACUUUGGCUUUUGAGGCUUGAUUUGCCUGUCUCUAAAACUGAACCAGUAAUACCUGCUGACCUUUUGCAGAAUUGUCAUGAAGAUUAGGGUAAUGUGGUGUUCUCUCCUCUUACUCCGCUUCAGUGAACACUCAGAUGAAAGGGCAGAUAGUCAAAACUUUGUGAAAGACUUUUUCACAUAGAAGAACAUCCACUUUAUUUUACAUUUAUGUGGUACUGAGGAUUGAACCCAGUGCCUCAUGCAUGCGAGGCGAGCACUCUACCACUGAGCCACAAUCCCAGCCCCGAAUGUC